rnacentral:rRNA from 1 species
UACGUAGGGUGCGAGCGUUGUCCGGAAUUACUGGGCGUAAAGAGCUUGUAGGCGGUUCGUCGCGUCGAUCGUGAAAACAUACAGCUCAACUGUGUGCUUGCGGUCGAUACGGGCGGACUAGAGUACUGCAGGGGAGACUGGAAUUCCUGGUGUAGCGGUGAAAUGCGUAGAUAUCUGGAGGAACACCGGUGGCGAAGGCGGCAUCCUGGACCGGCAUUGACGCUGAGGCGCGAAAGCCAGGGGAGCAAACGGG